GGGGAUUUAGCUCAGUGGUAGAGCGUCUGCCUAGCAAGCGCAAGGCCCUGGGUUCAGUCCCCAGCUCCG
rnacentral:tRNA from 1 species